AGGAACCGGAUGCCUUAAUUGGGCUCGUCCGGAUCUGUGAGGGGUGAGGGGGGCGACCUCCUCGCCUACUCGGAU
rnacentral:autocatalytically_spliced_intron from 1 species